rnacentral:rRNA from 1 species
ACGGAGGAUGCAAGCGUUAUCCGGAAUGAUUGGGCGUAAAGGGUCCGCAGGUGGAACUGAAAGUCUGCUGUUAAAGAAUUUGGCUCAACCAGAUAAAAGCAGUGGAAACUACAGAACUAGAGUACGUUCGGGGCAGAAGGAAUUCCUAGUGUAGCGGUGAAAUGCGUAGAUAUUAGGAAGAACACCGGUGGCGAAAGCGUUCUGCUAGGCCGUAACUGACACUGAGGGACGAAAGCUAGGGGAGCGAAUGGG